UACGUAGGUGGCAAGCGUUGUCCGGAUUUAUUGGGUUUAAAGGGUGCGUCGGCGGCCCUGUAAGUCAGUGCUGAAAUAUCCCGGCUUAACCGGGAGGGUGGCAUUGAUACUGCGGGGCUAGAGUACAGAUGAGGUAGGCGGAAUUGACGGUGUAGCGGUGAAAUGCUUAGAUAUCGUCAAGAACACCUAUAGCGAAGGCAGCUUACUAGGCUGUAACUGACGCUGAGGCACGAAAGUGUGGGGAUCAAACAGG
rnacentral:rRNA from 1 species